GAUGAACGCUGGCGGCGUGCUUAACACAUGCAAGUCGAACGGAAAGGCCAGUGCUUGCUCUCGUACUCGAGUGGCGAACGGGUGAGUAACACGUGGGGGACCUGCCCUGUACUUCGGGAUAAGCGUGGGAAACUGGGUCUAAUACCGGAUAGGACAACUUUUCGGAUAGUGUUGUGGAAAGCUGUUGCGGUAGGGGAUGAGCUCGCGUCCUAUCAGCUUGUCGGGGUGGUAAUGUCAUACCAAGGCGUCGACGGGUAGCCGGGCUGGGAGGGUGUACGGACCGAUUGGGACGGGGCUACGGCACGGACUAGUCCGGGACGGAAGGGUGGGGAAUAUUACAUAAUGGGCGGAAGCCUGAUGUAACGCCGCGGCGUGGGGGAUGAAGGGAUUGGGGUUGUAAACUAAUCUCGUUAGGGACGAAGCGUUAGUGACGGUACCUGGAGAAGAAGCGACGGCUAACUACGUG
rnacentral:rRNA from 1 species